rnacentral:pre_miRNA from 1 species
AUGUUAAUGCGUGAUAUGUUAACAUCAGUUUUCCAAAAACCGAUGUUAACGUGUAUGCAUUAACAU